AUAUGGAAGUUCCCAGGCGAGGGGUUGAAUCAGAGCUGCAGCUGCUGGCCACAGGCCCAGCCACAGCAAUGUGGGAUCCGAGUUAUGUUUGCAACCUACACCACAGCUCAUGGCAACACUGGAUACUUAACCCAUUGAGCGAGGCCAGGGAUUGAACCUGAGUCUUCACGGAACAGCAGUCAGAUUCAUUACUGCUGAGCCACAAGGGGGGCUACCCAUCCCCAGGUUUUUUGAUGUCUUAUUGUCACUGCCUGUUACAAGACAGCUGCCUCUGCUCUAGGCGCCUUAUCCACAUUAAAGGCAAGAAGGUAAAAGAUUUAAUGCCAGUGUAUGCUUGUCUCACGGUUGUAUCUGACAGUCAUUGGCCAGAACUGAGUCACAUGGCCCCCCUCCCACGUCCAGUCACAAGGGUUUCUGGGAAAGUGAGUAUCUAGCCAAAAAGGAACAUAUUAACAUGACUGGCUUAGCCAAUGUAGUUUGUCUUCAGAAGCUGGGCACAUUGUCUAACAAAUUCCUCCUCCACAGGGGUUAUCUGGGUGAUAAUCCAUACUUUAUUAGGAUAAUGAUCUGUUACUUUAAGCUAAGCUGUAAAAAUGUUUAAAAUAAAUGAGUAAAUAAACCAUCAAAUAGGCUAGAGGUAUGGCCAUCUGUCAUCUUUACUGAGAUCCAAGGACAACCCAUAUGUUAGUGGCCCUAGGUGGGAGCAAUUUAGAGAAGCUGCCAUGAGAGGAUGGAACAGCCAUUCUCAGAAGGGCACAGAGUCUGCUUUAAGCUCCCAGACUACUCCCAAAGGGCUACCAAUGGGGCCCAGAAUUUAUCAAAAGCCAAAUCUUUUUUGAAGAUGUAAGUUGUGCCCAUAUCUCUUCCUUUAUGGGGUUGGGGACUCCCCCUAGGACCCAGGUAAGUGGCUUUAUCCAAGGGGUUUGUCCAACUGAAUUAGGUGAGUUCUACUUAGCCCAAGCUACUGAGUAGCACCUGCUGCUACAGAAAAGAGUGAUCCCACAAAAUGCUCUAAAUCAGAGCAGAAUCUGGGUUCCUGCAAAGCUCUCACACUUUCUAGCAAGUCUCUUUACCUUAACAAUAAUCAGUUCCUUCAUUUGUUAAAUGAGGCAAAUAGAUCCAUAAUCACAAAGGUUCCUGCCAGAUCUGUAAGGCAGCAGUUUUAAACAAAUGUUCUCCCUCUACCACAGUCUCUGUGGAAUUCACUCUCAGAUUUCAGGGGUCCAACAUACCUGGAUUCAAAUUCCAACUCCCCCUUACAAGGUCUGUGAUCUUGGGAAAGUUACUCAACCCCUUUAAAUUCAUUUCCUCAUCUAAAUAACAGAAAAAGUAAUACUUUGCAGGAGAGGAGCUCACCAGGUUUCCAUUCCAACUAAACUUACUCUUUCUGGCGUUCCAAGUGGCCUCCAAGUUGCCAAACCAAAUGGGCAUUCCUUUGUCCUCAUCUCACCCCUUUGCAACAUCUGACUGUAUCUCUUACAUCCUCUUAACCUCCUUGAAGUUCUUUCCUCUCUUUUUUUGACCUCAAAUUCUCCUGGUUUUCUCCUCCUUCCCCAGCCACUGCCUCUCAUUCUUUCUUAUGAGAUUUUCAUCUAUCGAAUGCCAGUGUUUUUAAGCACAUAAAAAGAUGUUCAACCUCAUUCACAACAAAAGGAAUUCAAAUUCAAAUUAGAUCUUUUCACCCAUCAGAUUAGCAAGACAUGAGGAGUGUGACAACAGGCUGUGGACAAUGAUGCAGGGGAAUAGGCACUUUUGUGCAUUCUAGAGUGUAAUCACUAAACUCCUUUGGAGGGCAAUUUAGCAUAAUCAAAAUUUUAAAUGUAUAAAAGGAUUUAAUCCAGUAAUUCCAUUUACAAAAAAAUCAUCCUAGAGAGAAAAUCUACUCCACAUAUUUCCAAUGCCCAUUUUCCCCUUCUUUACAACAGAAUCUGAUUUUGUUGACAGAGCAAUUAACCAAACUAAAAGACAUUUCCAAGCUUCCUUUAAGAUAGAGAUGUUUGCUUGACACAGGUCUGGCCAAUGGGAUAUAAGCAAAAAAAAACUGGGGAUGGCUUCCAGGAAAUCUCCUUAGAAUAAUGAACUCCUUAGAAUAAUGAAGGGUGCUGACGAUGCACCCUUCUCCCCUCUGCUGUCUUCCUUCCUGUCUGGAGUGUGUAUGUGAUGGCUUGAUUUGAAGCAGCCGUCUUGUAACCGUAAGGAAAAGAACAUGGAGACUUUGCUGUGAUAUUAUUGAGACACUAAACCAGUGCCAGCAUUUGCCUACCCCAGAUUUCUCAUGACAUGAGAAAAAAUAUUUAUAUUGUUUAAAUCUCUAUGGUUUGAAUUUUCUCCUACAUUCUGCCAAAAUUAAUCCCUAAACGGUGUUUGUAUAUACAAGGAUAUUUUUGUGAUAUUGUUUAUAUAGCAAAAGCCUGGAAAUGUACUGAAUUCCCACUUGUAAGGAACUGGCUAAUUAAAUUAUGAUAUAUGCAUAGAGAGUAUUAUACAGUUGUAUAAAAGAAUGAAGUAGAUUUUUAGUACCAAUAAAGAAUGAUCUCCAAGACAUUUAUUUUUAUCUUUAUUUACUUACUUACUUAUUUAUUUAUUUUUGCUUUUGAGAGCUGCACUGGCAGCAUAUGGAAGUUCCCAGGCUAAGGAUCGAAUCAGAGCUACAGCUACCAGGCUAUACCACAACCACAGCAAUGCAGGAUCUGAGCCACGUCUGCAACCUACACAACAGCUCAUGGCAAUGCCUACCCCACUGAGAGAGGCCAGGGAUUGAAACCACAUCCUCAUGGAUACUAGUCAGAUUUGUUUCUGCUGCAACACAACAGGAACUCCCUCCAAGAUAUUUAAAUUUUAAAAGAAUGAUAUAAAAAUGUAAACACAGUGAUACAUAAAUGUAAUUUAUAGAAAAUUGUGUACCAGGCUUAGAACUUUUCCAGAAUACAAAGGAAAUUGGUACUCCUCUGGAAAUGGGACCUGGGUUGCUAGGGAUCAGGAGAGGGGGUAGGACUUGCCACUCACUGUGUAUGCUUUUAUACUGCUUGAAUGUUUACCAUGUAUUUUAUCUUCAAAAAAAGUUGUUAAUUAGAAUUAAAUUGUACUACUUUAUCAAAA
rnacentral:lncRNA from 1 species